AGCAGCCGCGGUAAUUCCAGCUCCAAUAGCGUAUAUUAAAGUUGUUGCAGUUAAAAAGCUCGUAGUUGAAUUUCGGGAUCAGUACGCCGGUCGUGCCUUCGGUAUGCACUGGUGUCACUGGUUCCUCCCUUCUGACGAACCGUCAUGCCAUUCACUUGGUGUGGCGGGAAAUCAGGACUGUUACUUUGAAAAAAUUAGAGUGUUUAAAGCAGGCUCACGCUUGAAUACAUUAGCAUGGAAUAAUGAAAUAGGACGUUGAUCUUAUUUUGUUGGUUUCUAGGAUUGACGUAAUGAUUAAUAGGGAUAGUUGGGGGCAUUAGUAUUCAAUUGUCAGAGGUGAAAUUCUUGGAUUUAUUGAAGACUAACUACUGCGAAAGCAUUUGCCAAGGAUGUUUUCAUUAAUCAAGAACGAAAGUUAGGGGAUCGAAGACGAUCAGAUACCGUCGUAGUCUUAACCAUAAACUAUGCCGACUAGGGAUCGGAUGAUGUUAAUUUUUUAAUGA
rnacentral:rRNA from 1 species